UCUGAUAAUGAUCAUAAAAUUGGUGAACCAGAAGCAGACAUAGAGCAGAGAUUUGACAAUGAUGAAGAACAAGUAAUACCUAUUAUCUCUCUACUGGAAGAAAAAGAACUUACACCCAUUAAGAUUAAUCUGAGUAUGGCUAUGGAACAAGAACAAGGUGAAGAACCACAACCAAAAUUUUUAUUAAAAC